UGGGGAAUUUUGCACAAUGGGGGAAACCCUGAUGCAGCGACGCCGCGUGAUUUAGAAGGCCUUCGGGUUGUAAAAAUCUUUUCUAUGGGAAGAAAAUGACAGUACCAUAGGAAUAAGGACCGGCUAAUUACGUGCCAGCAGCCGCGGUAAUACGUAAGGUCCGAGCGUUGUCCGGAAUCAUUGGGCGUAAAGGGUACGUAGGCGGGUAAGCAAGUUAGAAGUGAAAUCCUAUAGCUCAACUAUAGUAAGCUUUUAAAACUGCUCAUCUUGAGGUAUGGAAGGGAAAGUGGAAUUCCUAGUGUAGCGGAGAAAUGCGCAGAUAUUAGGAGGAAUACCGGUGGCGAAGGCGACUUUCUGGCCAUAACCUAACGCUGAGGUACGAAAGCGUGGGUAGCAAACAGG
rnacentral:rRNA from 1 species